rnacentral:tRNA from 1 species
CGACCCGUAGCUCAGACAGGAAGAGCGCGCCUCUUACAAAGGCGAUGUCGAUGGUUCGAUUCCAUCCGGGUCGA